rnacentral:lncRNA from 1 species
AUGAAUCAGGAUUUGUCAGUGGGAUGCGGGCUGAGUGCAGGGCCCCAUAGACUAGGCAGCAGGAACCCCUUCUCUCCUAGUUACAGACCCAGCUCUUCAGCUGACUGUCGGCUCCUCCAGCGAGGACUCACUGUGUUGGACCAUUCCCACCUUCCUGCAAGUGUCUCUUGGGAAACUCCUCUCUCAGCUCAGUGGAAUCAGGUAUAUGGGCUCAGUGCUUUUCGUAUGCUACAGGGAAAUCAUGAAUGUUUUAUUGAGAUGUUCCAGCUUUACUACAUAAUCACAGGUGAGUUGACUAGGCACAAAUGCUAAAUAAUUUAGAAUUAAAUGUUCAUGGAACCCAGUGCAUCUGUACUGGGAUAUCUUAAUUUA